UACGAAGGGGGGCUAGCGUUGCUCGGAAUCACUGGGCGUAAAGGGUGCGUAGGCGGGUCUUUAAGUCAGGGGUGAAAUCCUGGAGCUCAACUCCAGAACUGCCUUUGAUACUGAGGAUCUUGAGUUCGGGAGAGGUGAGUGGAACUGCGAGUGUAGAGGUGAAAUUCGUAGAUAUUCGCAAGAACACCAGUGGCGAAGGCGGCUCACUGGCCCGGUACUGACGCUGAGGCACGAAAGCGUGGGGAGCAAACAGG
rnacentral:rRNA from 1 species